rnacentral:rRNA from 1 species
UACGGGGGGGGUAAGCGUUGUUCGGAAUUACUGGGCGUAAAGGGCUCGUAGGCGGCCAACUAAGUCAGACGUGAAAUCCCUCGGCUUAACCGGGGAACUGCAUCUGAUACUGGAUGGCUUGAGUUCGGGAGAGGGAUGCGGAAUUCCAGGUGUAGCGGUGAAAUGCGUAGAUAUCUGGAGGAACACCGGUGGCGAAGGCGGCAUCCUGGACCGACACUGACGCUGAGGAGCGAAAGCCAGGGGAGCAAAGCGGG